UAUUCAAGAGGUAAAGUAGAGCUG
rnacentral:piRNA from 1 species